AAGACAUUGUUUACUAGCAAUAGAUAUUCUAAAAUAAGCUGAAUUAAAAGUUGCAACAACACUUUUACUAGCAUAAUGUGUUUAGUUAUCAUUAUAAUCAAAACUGUGCUAAUAUCCGUCUCAGCAUAAAUAACAAUUGACGUACAUAUACGGAAAGCCGUGUUAUUCAUAAGUGCUAUUGUGUAAGCUAACAAAGAGAGACGGGAGGUAAGGUAUAUACAAGUAGGGGAAUUAGGGACUAAUAGCAGGCAGCUAGGAACCAUUCUAAAAGGAGUGAAAAGGAGACAUCUAAAGCAACAUGACCGAUCCAAUAUCACUGAUAGUUGCAUUGCUACUUAUCAAUCUCCUCAUGUCACUAAUGCUAGUGAUCACUAGUGUCUUUGCCAUUACAGCCACCUGGGUCAUUCAGUUCAUCUUUAUGGCAGGACUGGUCUUUAUGGCAGGCAUAUUCAUCGCUCUCUUGUAUUGUUGUCUUGCUAGAAGAAGGAAAGAAGAAAAAAUCAAAUAUCCAAAGCAAGCAACGGAUAGAGAUGUCUAUGAUACAAUCAGGGCUCAUAUCCUCCCUUCACUGUGCAGCAAAGGACACAAGAGAGAAGGGAACAUUUAUGUUGUGUAGAAUAUGUUUUGAAACAAGUCAAACAACACAUUCUACAAUCAUUGGACUUGGACAACAUGUUAUUUUGAACAUGCAAGGACUUAUAAAAUAAUUAUGUAUGAUAUAUUUAAUCUAAAAUCAUAUGUAACUAAUAUAUCUAUAUCUCUAUAAAUUAUGUAAUUUAAAUGAAGU